rnacentral:ncRNA from 1 species
GUAUCUGAAAUCAAGCAGGAUCACCCGCUGAACUUAAGCAUAUCACUAAGCGGAGGAGAAGAAAUUAACUAAGAUUGCCCUAGUAACGGCGAGUGAAGCGGCAAAAGCCCAAAAUGUAAAUCUUGUGCACAUCGUGUACACGAAUUGUAAUCUAGAGAGAGUUUACUCAACGGGCGGGGUCGCAGAAGUGACCACGAACGGUCCGCCAGAGAGGGUGAAAGCCCCGUAUGUGGUGGCCCUGCUUAACGAGUAGGUUUUCGAAGAGUCGGGUUGUUUUGUAUUGCAGCCCUAAGUGGGAGAUAAACUUCUUCUAAGGCUAAAUAUUAAUGGGAAACCGAUAGCGAACAAGUACUGUGAAGGAAAGAUGAAAAGAACUUUGAAAAGAGAGUCAAAAGACUUGAAAUCGUUGAGAAGGAAG